ensembl:snRNA U6 U6 spliceosomal RNA
UGUGCUCGCUUGGGCGGCACACAAUAUUAAAACUGGAACGAUACAGAGACGACUAGCAUGGCCCCCGCGCAAAUAUGACACACAAAUUCAUGACAAGUUCCAUAUUUGU